UUUUAGUGCGUGUGGAUCUGAACAUAAAUUAUACGCGAAAUAGAUAAGUCUAAAACUUCAAUUCAUUUGAAGAGAAUCAUCGACUAAAGUAAAUUAAGCUGAGAAUACAAUCGUAAAAAUGUUGCGUAAAGAUGUUGGCGCGUAUGAUGAGACCCGCGUAAACUGCAAUCCCAACGAGGGGUUUAAUCAAGCUAUAUUUUUCCCGCCGACGAUAAACCAAGCGGCCGGCGAAUUGACAAUUCGGAGUUCGCCUUCAUGGAAUCACUGUAUCUUCUAUUUUGUGGUGUACGAAAUUCAAUCUCCGAUUUGUACCGUUUCGGAACUGCCUUCCAUUCUUUUGAUCGGCUUUCGGUGCCCUCAACCAAUGUAAUGUGGUCUCUGAAGAGUGAUCUUAGGGUUGCUUUUUUUUGGGAAGUUUGGUGGUGGCUUAUUUGAUUCAUUUCCCCAAGGACGGUAUUCAUGGCAUUUUAUGGAGCUGGUCAAGAUUGUCAAUGAUAACGAUCUCUAUGCCAAACUAGCAAAAUUUAUUGACGAUAAAUCUAAGAUGUCUGAAGUUCAAAUUGCAGGAUAGAUUCAGAUACUCGGUGAUGAGGACAAAGCAAAGGGGAUUGUUGAGGCCGCCAAGGCAUCCAUGAGUAUUGCAUAGGAUUCCAUCCCUGCCAAUGAAUCAACAAUUGGAAGUGCUUAUUCUUGAUAAACCUUAAUUAUGGUUUUAACUCUGAGGAAUAUUUCUGUUUCCUUCAAUUAACCGCAGGGUAGAAUUUCUCUCCAGUGGACUUGAUAAACGUUCAACAGAUCAAAGACUGAUGGAUCUGUCUCAGUACAGGAAGAAGCUGUAUGGCUACCUGGUUGCUAAAAUGAAUGAUAUUGCACCCAAUUUGGUGCUGAGAAGGGCCAGAAGGCUCUCUUCAGGAGUUCUACUCGAAUUCAUCCUAUCUCUUGUGGGUUUUGCUAAUACAGCCUGACGUUUCCUUACGUUCAAAUUUUAAAUACCAUUUUCCGAUUGGAUUUUUCUCGGUUGGUGGUUUCAGUGCAGGAUGGUUGCAUUCAUUAACUCAGAGGAUGCUUUUGUUUGUUUAGCAGAGAUUUGUAUUUUUAUUGUCUUUUAACCUUAUUUCAGUCUCCUCACCAGUACUUUUUCAUCUAGUGUAGGGCACUAAAAGCUAAAGGUAAUAUGCCCAAGUAAUGGUUUGAUAUUCCUUUCCUCUAUCAUUGGUCGAGCAUUGCAAGGAAUGAAGGUUGAAUGGCUCUUUUUCUUGCUAACAAGUGAUCAAAUGCAACUUGCCUCAACUAGUUUGCGGGUACUUCUCCUGAAGAUGCCUUGGUAUAUGAAGUCUUCAACUUGUAAUUUGAAACUCCAAGCUUCUUAGAGGU